GACGAACGCUGGCGGCGUGCCUAACACAUGCAAGUCGAACGGAGAAGUUGAUUUCGGUUGACUUCUUAGUGGCGAACGGGUGAGUAACGCGUGAACAACCUGACCUCAAGAGGGGGAUACCAACGAGAAAUCGUUGUUAAUACCGCAUAAGACCACAGCGCCGCAUGGCAAAGGGGUCAAAGGAGCAAUCCGCUUGAGGAGGGGUUCGCGUCCCAUUAGGUAGUAGGCGGGGUAACGGCCCACCUAGCCAGCGAUGGGUAGCCGAGCUGAGAGGCUGAACGGCCACACUGGAACUGAGACACGGUCCAGACUCCUACGGGAGGCAGCAGUGGGGAAUAUUGGGCAAUGGGCGCAAGCCUGACCCAGCAACGCCGCGUGAGGGAAAAGGUUUUCGGAUUGUAAACCUCUGUCGCAGAUGACGAAGGAAGUGACGGUAAUCUGUGAGGAAGCCCCGGUAACUACGUG
rnacentral:rRNA from 1 species